rnacentral:lncRNA from 1 species
AUGAACAUUAUAGAUUCAGAACAAAAACUAGAAAACAUAUUAAUGAAGAAAAUAUUACAUGGCUUACGAGGAUCAUUCAAAAGUCAAGGAUUUUCACAGUUUUUAAGAUGCUUUAGCAAUGCACAUCAUGAAGCUCCCUUGUGAGGACCAUGGAUGAUGAAAUGACUGACAUUUUUUUUCCUUUGUUAGGUUUGAAAGGGGAGGGGAUGGAGGGGGGGAGUUAGGUUCCAUUUCAACCAAGCGCAGGCUUUUAGCUGGGGAUUGCCGCUGCUAACGAUAAAGGAAAGGGACACUGAAUGUGAUUGAGUGGGUAUUCUAAUGAUUUUAGUAGGCCCAUCUUUCAUAUCCUCUUCUCUCUCUCUGAUGAUUUUCAGGUAAAGAAGGCAUGUUAAUUAUCUUAGGCAGUAUGAUCUUCAGACAUAGCUUCGGAUCCUGUCAAGCCAAACCCACAGUCACUGUAAGACAAGCAAAUUCUUUUCUAUCUUCAUUCCCCCACUUUAAUCUCCACAUAAAGUAAGCUGGCAAGCACUUCCUACCAUUAUUCUAAGUUUAUCAAACAGUAUAUCUAAAAAUGGUAGCCUUUUUCACUUUCUAAAUUUGGUAAGACAACAAAUGAAACAACCCCAUGAAUGAAGAAACAAAACUAGAGCAUUAAUUUAAAACAACAGUUUCUAACUGAUGUAGUCUUAAAGCAUAAGCAGGGAUUCCCCUGCUUUUUUGGAUAUAGAGUGUAACACCCCUUAACCCCGAACCGUCGCCGGAACAGAAUUACGAGGCAUUACCGGACGUAUCAAACGAUUUACAACAAUUCUUAAAUAAAUAACCAAUAUAUUAAAAUAAUUCAUAAAAUUUAUUAGUUUGUUUACCAAAUGACUUCAUUUUUUUUUUAUAAAAAUUUCGACAGCAUUUCUGCUUAUUUUUACAUAAAACCCCCUGUAAAUUAAAACCAUAUAGUUCCCAAAUAUCACCAAUUCAACCAAUUCAUUUCACAUUCACAUUUUCUAUUCUAAAUACUUCUAAUCAAACUCAAUCUACACAAUAUCAAUUUAAAAUUUAACAAUGUACUAAUUAGAUAAAAUAGAUAGACUUCUUUCAUUAAAAUCCAUAAACUUUUAAUACUAACAUUUUUAACCAUUAUAUAAUAAAACAUAAUAACCUUUAUACACAAUCUAUGUACAUGCCACAUUUACCAAAGGAAAAAUACAUCACCAAGUUUUGCCGAAGCCGGGAUUAAUCUGGAUGCUGAACCGGGACCUUUGACUUCUAUUGACCUGCGCACGGAAACAACCGUACGCUGAGUAAUUCAUACUCAGUGGUAUUACCAUAAUUCAAAUUAUAACAAUAAUGUACAUGUAAUGCAUAAAUCGUAUAUACAAUUUAAAUUAAAUAUUUCAACAAUAGCAAUUCAUCAACCAAUAUCGUAUAUCCACAAUUUGAGUUUGAAUAAUUCACGAACCUUAGGUUCAUUUCUCAAUCACAUUUCACAUUUCAAUUCACAAUUCAACUUUCUCAUAUCAUUUCAAUAGCUCGUUUGACCAACUCGUUCGGUUUAUCAUUUCAUCAUUUACCCUAUUAACAAAACUCGGACUUUGGCGGAUACACGGAUCCAACCAAACACACCAGAAUGGCACCCAGUGCCUCAUCGGAUAGUUCGAAGCAAUAGUUGACACCCAGUGUCUCAUCGGCAAAGCCGAAGAAAGUUGGUACCCAGUACCUCAUCGAAUCUAUCCGAAGAAAUAUAGUGACACCCAGUGUCUCAUCGACUCGAGGUCGAAGUAUCCCUGAACUCUUCCAAUCCUAUGGCAUGCCAACUAUAUCCGACUCAGCCCGACUAGUUAAUAGGGUAUUUAAAUCACAUAUAUUCUCAAUUCAAUUACAAUUUUUCACAUUUUCAAUUCAAUCAUUUUUCCACCUUUCAAUCAAUAAUUAUUUCACAACUUCACACAUUUUCACAACUCAAUACAUUUCCAUACAAUUUAAUACCAUUCACAAUUCGAUUCAAAUUCAUUUCCCGCUUUUAAUCAACAAACAAUUCAAAUAUUAUUUCAUAUCAACUAUUCAAUUUAAUUCCCACUCAUAAUAAUAAUAAUAAUACUAAUAAUAAUACUAAUACUUACCUCACAUUUCAUUUACUAGACACAUAAAUUAAAAUUUAACAUUUAAAAAUAAAUAAUUUGAAUUAUAGUAAUACAAACCGUUAUUCUCCCGUUUUAGUCCUCGAUAACUUUCUCCUUUCCUUUUGACGCCGAUGCCUCGGGUUCUUUGUUAGCUACGAAAAUAAUAAUUUGUAAUAUUAAUUACAGCACUAAUUAUAAUAAAUAAUUGAAUUUCUAUUCAAUUUCUUCCUAAUUCUCAAUUGAAUCCUAACUAAAUUCACUUACUUUCCUAAUUCAAUUCACACUCUAUUUCUAUUCAAAUUUCAUCCAAACUAAAAUUUAACUAUCAAAAUUUCAGCAUAUUUUGCUAAUUUCGAAUUUCCCUCAAUUUAGUCCCUAAAACAUAAAACUUAUAGUUUCUUUUACAAUUUAAUCCCUUUUUCAAUUCUAACUUAAAAUUCCUUCAAGUUAAUCCCUAAUUCAUCUCUUUUGUUCAACAUAAACUAUACUUGAAAACCUAUGAACUUACAAAAUAUCAACUUAAUUCCAUCAAAACUUUGUUUUAAAGCUUUUAGAACAUUAGAAUUAAGAGAAAAGGGCUAAUUUGACUUACCAAUUUAAAUUUCAAGCUUCAAAAACCCUAUUUUCCCUUUUUUCUUCUUUUUCUUCUUUCUCCCCUGUUUCUCCCCUGUUUCGUCUCUUCUAUUCUGUUUCUUUCCUUUCUUUUGCUUUGUUUUUAUUUCUUUUUAUUUCAUUUACUUUAUAUUAUAUUAAUUAAUUAUAAGUAUUACAAAUGUAUGUAUUUUAUUAGUACUCUUGCAUUAAUUCAUCACCAUACACUUGUCUCAAUCUAACUAAUUUAUCAAUAAAAAUCUCAUAAUAUUAUUAUUUAAUUAACAAUUAUCUUUUACUUAAUUUUCAAGUAAAUAAAUAAAUGUAAUACACUUGUAUUUUAUUUUUACCACACACUUGGCAAAAUCAUAAUUUAUUAUUACCCAAAAAUCUUAUACUAAUUAUUUAAUUAUUAAAUAUCUUUUAAUUUAAUAAUAACUAAUAACUAAUAAUAAAUAAUAAAUAUCUUAUACUAAUUAAUAAGCAAAUUAAAUCUAUAAACUACAAAUAUAUACAUACUUUAAUUACACAUGUAUUACUUUAUCAUGUCUUUAUUUUAAUUUAUUUAAUAAUAAUAGUAAUAAUAUAUUUAAUAUUUUAUAAUUAAUUGUCAUAAAAAUCUAAGAUUUUUAUGCACAUUUGCCGCCUCAUGUAAUAAAAUAGGCUUAAUUACCUAUUUGGUCCCUUAUGAUUUCUUUUAAUCUAUAAUUAUGCUUUCACUCUUUAUUCAAUUUAAUCCUUUUUACUAAUUACUCAUAAUUGAACUAAAUUCACCUAUCUAAAACUUAAUUAAACACACAACUAGUCUCGUAAAUAUUUCUAAUAAUUAUUUUCGGACUCAAUUUACUAGGACGGAGGCCCGAUAUUAUACUUUUCCGAUGCCCAUGAAUUUUGGGUCAUUACAUAGAGAGACCAUUUAACUUGAUCCAAAAGAAAAUAAAAUCCCUUGUAAACAGCUCUACGAGCAAUAUAAUUCAACCUAUUUUUCAAUGAUUAAGUUGCAUGG